rnacentral:rRNA from 1 species
AGGGCGCACGGUGGAUGCCUUGGCACUAGAAGCCGAUGAAGGACGUUACUAACGACGAUAUGCUUUGGGGAGCUGUAAGUAAGCUUUGAUCCAGAGAUUUCCGAAUGGGGAAACCCAGCAUGAGUUAUGUCAUGUUAUCGAUAUGUGAAUACAUAGCAUAUCAGAAGGCACACCCGGAGAACUGAAACAUCUUAGUACCCGGAGGAAGAGAAAGAAAAUUCGAUUCCCUUAGUAGCGGCGAGCGAAACGGGAAGAGCCCAAACCAACAAGCUUGCUUGUUGGGGUUGUAGGACACUCUAUACGGAGUUACAAAGGACGACAUUAGACGAAUCAUCUGGAAAGAUGAAUCAAAGAAGGUAAUAAUCCUGUAGUCGAAAAUGUUGUCUCUCUUGAGUGGAUCCUGAGUACGACGGAGCACGUGAAAUUCCGUCGGAAUUUGGGAGGACCAUCUCCUAAGGCUAAAUACUCUCUAGUGACCGAUAGCGAACCAGUACCGUGAGGGAAAGGUGAAAAGCACCCCGGAAGGGGAGUGAAAUAGAACCUGAAACCGUGUGCUUACAAGUAGUCAGAGCCCGUUAAUGGGUGAUGGCGUGCCUUUUGUAGAAUGAACCGGCGAGUUACGAUUUGAUGCAAGGUUAAGCAGUAAAUGUGGAGCCGUAGCGAAAGCGAGUCUGAAUAGGGCGUUUAGUAUUUGGUCGUAGACCCGAAACCAGGUGAUCUACCCUUGGUCAGGUUGAAGUUCAGGUAACACUGAAUGGAGGACCGAACCGACUUACGUUGAAAAGUGAGCGGAUGAACUGAGGGUAGCGGAGAAAUUCCAAUCGAACCUGGAGAUAGCUGGUUCUCUCCGAAAUAGCUUUAGGGCUAGCCUCAAGUGAUGAUUAUUGGAGGUAGAGCACUGUUUGGACGAGGGGCCCCUCUCGGGUUACCGAAUUCAGACAAACUCCGAAUGCCAAUUAAUUUAACUUGGGAGUCAGAACAUGGGUGAUAAGGUCCGUGUUCGAAAGGGAAACAGCCCAGACCACCAGCUAAGGUCCCAAAAUAUAUGUUAAGUGGAAAAGGAUGUGGCGUUGCCCAGACAACUAGGAUGUUGGCUUAGAAGCAGCCAUCAUUUAAAGAGUGCGUAAUAGCUCACUAGUCGAGUGACACUGCGCCGAAAAUGUACCGGGGCUAAACAUAUUACCGAAGCUGUGGAUUGUCCUUUGGACAAUGGUAGGAGAGCGUUCUAAGGGCGUUGAAGCAUGAUCGUAAGGACAUGUGGAGCGCUUAGAAGUGAGAAUGCCGGUGUGAGUAGCGAAAGACGGGUGAGAAUCCCGUCCACCGAUUGACUAAGGUUUCCAGAGGAAGGCUCGUCCGCUCUGGGUUAGUCGGGUCCUAAGCUGAGGCCGACAGGCGUAGGCGAUGGAUAACAGGUUGAUAUUCCUGUACCACCUAUAAUCGUUUUAAUCGAUGGGGGGACGCAGUAGGAUAGGCGAAGCGUGCGAUUGGAUUGCACGUCUAAGCAGUAAGGCUGAGUAUUAGGCAAAUCCGGUACUCAUUAAGGCUGAGCUGUGAUGGGGAGAAGACAUUGUGUCUUCGAGUCGUUGAUUUCACACUGCCGAGAAAAGCCUCUAGAUAGAAAAUAGGUGCCCGUACCGCAAACCGACACAGGUAGUCAAGAUGAGAAUUCUAAGGUGAGCGAGCGAACUCUCGUUAAGGAACUCGGCAAAAUGACCCCGUAACUUCGGGAGAAGGGGUGCUCUUUAGGGUUAACGCCCAGAAGAGCCGCAGUGAAUAGGCCCAAGCGACUGUUUAUCAAAAACACAGGUCUCUGCUAAACCGUAAGGUGAUGUAUAGGGGCUGACGCCUGCCCGGUGCUGGAAGGUUAAGAGGAGUGGUUAGCUUCUGCGAAGCUACGAAUCGAAGCCCCAGUAAACGGCGGCCGUAACUAUAACGGUCCUAAGGUAGCGAAAUUCCUUGUCGGGUAAGUUCCGACCCGCACGAAAGGCGUAACGAUUUGGGCACUGUCUCAACGAGAGACUCGGUGAAAUCAUAGUACCUGUGAAGAUGCAGGUUACCCGCGACAGGACGGAAAGACCCCGUGGAGCUUUACUGUAGCCUGAUAUUGAAAUUCGGCACAGCUUGUACAGGAUAGGUAGGAGCCUUUGAAACGUGAGCGCUAGCUUACGUGGAGGCGCUGGUGGGAUACUACCCUAGCUGUGUUGGCUUUCUAACCCGCACCACUUAUCGUGGUGGGAGACAGUGUCAGGCGGGCAGUUUGACUGGGGCGGUCGCCUCCUAAAAGGUAACGGAGGCGCUCAAAGGUUCCCUCAGAAUGGUUGGAAAUCAUUCAUAGAGUGUAAAGGCAUAAGGGAGCUUGACUGCGAGACCUACAAGUCGAGCAGGGUCGAAAGACGGACUUAGUGAUCCGGUGGUUCCGCAUGGAAGGGCCAUCGCUCAACGGAUAAAAGCUACCCCGGGGAUAACAGGCUUAUCUCCCCCAAGAGUUCACAUCGACGGGGAGGUUUGGCACCUCGAUGUCGGCUCAUCGCAUCCUGGGGCUGUAGUCGGUCCCAAGGGUUGGGCUGUUCGCCCAUUAAAGCGGUACGCGAGCUGGGUUCAGAACGUCGUGAGACAGUUCGGUCCCUAUCCGUCGUGGGCGUAGGAAAUUUGAGAGGAGCUGUCCUUAGUACGAGAGGACCGGGAUGGACAUACCUCUGGUGUACCAGUUGUCGUGCCAACGGCAUAGCUGGGUAGCUAUGUGUGGACGGGAUAAGUGCUGAAAGCAUCUAAGCAUGAAGCCCCCCUCAAGAUGAGAUUUCCCAACUUCGGUUAUAAGAUCCCUCAAAGAUGAUGAGGUUAAUAGGUUCGAGGUGGAAGCAUGGUGACAUGUGGAGCUGACGAAUACUAAUCGAUCGAAGACUUAAUC